rnacentral:rRNA from 1 species
UACGUAGGGGGCUAGCGUUGUCCGGAUUUAUUGGGCGUAAAGAGCGUGUAGGCGGCCAGACAGGUCCGUUGUGAAAACUCGAGCUCAACCUCGAGACGCCGAUGGAAACCGUUUGGCUAGAGUCCGGAAGAGGAGAGUGGAAUUCCUGGUGUAGCGGUGAAAUGCGCAGAUAUCAGGAAGAACACCCGUGGCUAAGGCGGCUCUCUAGUACGGUACUGACGCUGAGACGCGAAAGCGUGGGGAGCGAACAGG